CCCUUAGAUGUUCUGGGCCGCACGCGCGCUACACUGACGGAUUCAACGAGCUUACAACCUUGGCCGAAAGGUCUGGGUAAUCUCCAAAAUCCGUCGUGAUGGGGAUAGAUUAUUGCAAUUAUUAAUCUUCAACGAGGAAUGCCUAGUAAGCGCAAGUCAUCAGCUUGCGUUGAUUACGUCCCUGCCCUUUGUACACACCGUCCGUCGCUCCUACCGAUUGAAUGGUCCGGUGAAGCGUUUGGACUAUGGUUUUCUGAUGGUCCGCCGUUGGAUUACCGUGGGAAGUUCGUUAAACCUUAUCAUUUAGAGGAAGGAGAAGUCGUAACA
rnacentral:rRNA from 1 species